rnacentral:lncRNA from 1 species
GCAUUAAAAAGGUCUAGACUUGGAAAAUGUACAGUGUCAGAGUUUAACAGUCAUCUCUGGUCGGCUUACUUCAAACUCAAGCAUGAAAAGAAAAACUACAGAAGCAAGAGAGGGAGGGUAAUGACAAGAGAGAGAGAGAAAGACAGAGACAGAGACAGACAGAUGGGAUCAUGCUCAUGCCUCUUCGCCUGUCCAUUCUGAGUUUUCCUAAACCUAAUUAUAACUUAACAAAUCAAUAUAUCAGGCCUCAAUCUAUUUCAUACUUGGACACCUAAGUGGUGCUAGUUCUUAGCGGUAGUCAACUCAACAGUCAAAUUGCUACCAUGUGCUUGUCAUUUUUAAUAUCUCUUGAGAUAUGUUUAUAGUCAUCUUCUCUUUUCUUUUGUAAUUUUGAUAAUAUGGUGAAGCAUUUCAUAAAAUAUGUAGAUGUUUCAGCAAAUGCAUUCCUUGGGCUGGAGAAAAAAAAAAAAAGGAAAUUUGCCCAGGAAGUUCUCAGUUGUAGGUUUUUAUUUCUUUCAGGCUUCUGGUUUCUUGGAACCUAUGCUUUAAACUAACUGUUUGCUUUCGAUUUACAUGGAGGAGGAGAACAAUUGAGAAGUUCUAAAUUCAAUGGGUAAAAAAUGUUCCAGGGGGUGAAAAAAUAUAAAGAAACAUGAUAAGGAAAAAUGCCUGAAUCUAUUCUACCUAAAAAGUCGUACUGGGAAUGAAAUUGUGAGUUGGGCAGAAAUGAGUGUGUGAAGUCCCAUGUUCAUUUUUUCUGUUGUAGGAAAAUUUAAAAUAUGUGUUCAAUUCUGGACCACCAGGAGUCAUGGAAAGUUCAAGGAAGGUUUCCAAAAAACAUUCCGGCUUACUCGUCUUUCGCAGACAGUGCAGACGUGGCAAAGAGUACCUUUUCCUGCUCCUCACGUAAAUCUGUGUUCCAAACGUCACAUGCCGAAGGGGAAGUGAACAGGUCUGUCUUAUUCUCCAGCAUUGAUGAUGAAGGCCGAAUUCUAGGGAGAAGCAAAUGAGGAAAAGAAGAAGUUAAAUCUCUUGGAGGAUAUGACUGUUCCGGUGUCUGCCCAUUGGCCUGAUGUAUUUUAAACCUGCAACGUCUGAAAUCUCCGUUCCCUUCUUUUGGACCCUCCAUCACAUGAAGCUGACCCACAGGUGUUUACAAGAUCCCUACUCUGUGUAGCCCUCCGUCCUGUCCAUCCACGCCUGACGUCCAGCCCUUCCCCACAAAGGCCCAUUCUAAUUUCACCAAUGGUCGGCUCCACUUGCCACAAUCCUGUCAAGGCAGACAAAUGAAACAUGUCAGGAGACAUGUGGAAGAAAAGAGUUACUGAUUUACUGUGGAACUUUUUAUGGAUAAGAGUUAUUUCUCUUGGCCUGGUACCUGCUCUUGAAGCUUGAUCACAUUUCAAGGUACUGCAGCCAUUUACUCAAAUAUUCUAGGUCCUCAGAUGUUAGGGUGCACGUGUCUGUUUGUGUGCGUGCAUGUCUGAAUGCGGUUGGAAAGCCACAGCAAGGCUGUUGAUUGCAAAGCAGGAACAAAGGGGAAAAGUCAAGGCUCCCUCCC